UUGAAAGGGAAACGAUUGAAGUCAGUCGUACCAGCGGGAAAUCAUCCUUUCGAGUGGGUAGGUUAACAUCGAUUUUGAUCAUCAUAAAAAGAUUGGAGGAAUGUAGCUUCGAUCUUGUAUUGAAGUGUUAUAGCCUUUGGUAAAUGUGAUGAUUAGGAUCGAGGAUUGCAACGAAUACCCUUUUGGGCUAUCCGCCUGAUCUCUGAUACGUGGCCUUGGUAUCGAAAGCUUGCUUAUGGUAUUGAGGUAUUACGGUCAAAAGGUUAGAACGGACUACAUUCGUUAAGGAUGUUGACGUA
rnacentral:rRNA from 1 species